rnacentral:lncRNA from 1 species
GCAGAUGAUGUGCGUGCGGAUGCGCCUUUGGACCUUUUUAUGAGCUUCAGGCUUAUAUGCAUGCUGAUGAUGGGUUUGGUGAGCUGAGGUGCAACAAUAGCAGCAACUUGUUCUUGAGGCGCAACAAUAGCAGCAGCUUGUUCUUGAACAGCAGCUUAUUCUUGUUCUAGAGGUGCAACAACAUCUUGUUCUUGAGGUGCACCAAUACCACCAACAACAAUACCACCAGCUUGUUCCUGUUCUUGAGGGGCAAGAAUACCACCAGCUUGUUCUUGAGGUGCACCUUCAGCUUAAAGGAGGAGAAAGCAGAGAAUCAACGACAAUGAUUGAAAUAAUGUGAAUAUUUUCCUUGAAACAAAUUGAAGAACUGGAACUAAAUUAUACCUUAAAAGCCAAGACCAAAAAACGAAGUCGAAACCAAAAUUCAGAACAUAAAAUUUCAAUUGUGAAGAAGAAGAAUUUCAACCUGCAUGAAAUACAGGCAGAAGAAGAGGAUUAUUCGCCAUGCUGCUAAUGCAGCAGAUGAUGUGCGUGCGGAUGCGCCUUUGGACCUUUUUAUGAGCUUCAGGCUUAUAUGCAUGCUGAUGAUGGGUUUGGUGAGCUGAGGUGCAACAAUAGCAGCAACUUGUUCUUGAGGCGCAACAAUAGCAGCAGCUUGUUCUUGAACAGCAGCUUAUUCUUGUUCUAGAGGUGCAACAACAUCUUGUUCUUGAGGUGCACCAAUACCACCAACAACAAUACCACCAGCUUGUUCCUGUUCUUGAGGGGCAAGAAUACCACCAGCUUGUUCUUGAGGUGCACCUUCAGCUUAAAGGAGGAGAAAGCAGAGAAUCAACGACAAUGAUUGAAAUAAUGUGAAUAUUUUCCUUGAAACAAAUUGAAGAACUGGAACUAAAUUAUACCUUAAAAGCCAAGACCAAAAAACGAAGUCGAAACCAAAAUUCAGAACAUAAAAUUUCAAUUGUGAAGAAGAAGAAUUUCAACCUGCAUGAAAUACAGGCAGAAGAAGAGGAUUAUUCGCC